AGCUAGUUGGUGGGGUAAAAGCUCACCAAGGCGACGAUCUGUAGCGGGUCUGAGAGGAUGAUCCGCCACACUGGAACUGAGACACGGUCCAGACUCCUACGGGAGGCAGCAGUGGGGAAUUUUGGACAAUGGGGGCAACCCUGAUCCAGCCAUGCCGCGUGAGUGAAGAGGGCCUUCGGGUUGUAAAGCUCUUUCAGCCGGGAAGAAAACGCAUUGGUUAAUACCUGAUGUGGAUGACGGUACCGGAAUAAGAAGCACCGGCUAACUACGUGCCAGCAGCCGCGGUAAUACGUAGGGUGCGAGCGUUAAUCGGAAUUACUGGGCGUAAAGCGUGCGCAGGCGGUUUUGUAAGAUAGGCGUGAAAUCCCCGGGCUUAACCUGGGAACUGCGUUUAUGACUGCAAAGCUAGAGUACGGCAGAGGGGGGUGGAAUUCCACGUGUAGCAGUGAAAUGCGUAGAGAUGUGGAGGAACACCAAUGGCGAAGGCAGCCCCCUGGGUCGAUACUGACGCUCAUGCACGAAAGCGUGGGUAGCAAACAGGAUUAGAUACCCUGGUAGUCCACGCCCUAAACGAUGUCAACUAGGUGUUGGGAGGGUAAAACCUUUUAGUACCGGAGCUAACGCGUGAAGUUGACCGCCUGGGGAGUACGGCCGCAAGGUUAAAACUCAAAGGAAUUGACGGGGACCCGCACAAGCGGUGGAUGAUGUGGAUUAAUUCGAUGCAACGCGAAAAACCUUACCUACCCUUGACAUGUCAGGAACUUGCCAGAGAUGGCUUGGUGCUCGAAAGAGAACCUGAACACAGGUGCUGCAUGGCUGUCGUCAGCUCGUGUCGUGAGAUGUUGGGUUAAGUCCCGCAACGAGCGCAACCCUUGUCGUUAAUUGCCAUCAUUUAGUUGGGCACUUUAACGAGACUGCCGGUGACAAACCGGAGGAAGGUGGGGAUGACGUCAAGUCCUCAUGGCCCUUAUGGGUAGGGCUUCACACGUCAUACAAUGGUUGGUACAAAGGGUCGCCAACCCGCGAGGGGGAGCCAAUCCCAGAAAGCCGAUCGUAGUCCGGAUUGCAGGCUGCAACUCGCCUGCAUGAAGUCGGAAUCGCUAGUAAUCGUGGAUCAGCAUGUCACGGUGAAUACGUUCCCGGGUCUUGUACACACCGCCCGUCACACCAUGGGAGCGGGUUCCGCCAGAAGUAGGUAGCCUAACCGCAAGGAGGGCGCUUACCACGGCGGGGUUCGUGACUGGGGUGAAGUCGUAACAAGGUAGCCGUAGGGGAACCUGCGGCUG
rnacentral:rRNA from 1 species